AAGAGACCCAAAGCAUCAUCCGGUCACAUCAAUGUCUCCUUCAGGUCACCAGUGGGUUGAGCCUGUCAUCAAGCUAUCCCAGUCCAGUUGCAGUCAUAGAUGACAGACGCACCAGUUGAAGCUGGUAAUAAUGCACACCAACCUCUGAGGUAUUCUGAGCCACAAGCAACAAAGCUGAAUAAUAAUAAUAAUAAUAAUAAUAAUAAUAAUACUUAUACCCUACCCAUCUUGCCAGGUCUACCCAGCCACUCUGGGCGGCUUCCAACAGGAUAUUAAAAACACAAUAAAAGUUCAAGCAUUAAAAACUUCCCUAAACAGGGCUGCCUUCAGAUGUCUUCUAAAAGUCAGAUAGUUGUUUAUUUCCUUGACAUCUGGUGGGAGGGCGUUCCACAGGGUGGGUGCCACUACCGAGAAGGCCCUCUGCCUGGUUCCCUGUAACUUGGCUUCUCACAGCGAGGGAACCACCAGAAGGCCCUCAGAGCUGGACCUCCGGGCUGAACAGUGGGGGUGGAGAUGCUCCUUCACUUUGAAUUGUUCUCGGAAAUGUACAGGAGGAGUACAACCCUAUCCUCUAAUGACCAGCUGGGAUAGAAAGUUCAAGCAGAGAAGGGAUCAAACAUUGCUGGUUUCUCCGCAGUUCUCCUCUAUCUCCGCCUGCCUGCCUGCCUGCCUUCCUCUGCUGCAGCCUGAUGUAAUGACUGCUGCCAGGCGACGGCUAACAAAUAAAAUAUAUGCCACUGUGGUGCUCAAUAAUCAAGACCACUCGACUUCUGCAAUGCACUUCAGCUCUUGGGGGCAGACAAACUCAGGACUGCAUUUCAGAAUUACCGCACUUUUUGCUCUAUAAGACUCACUUUUUCCCUCCUAAAAAGUAAGGGGAAAUGUGUGUGCGUCUUAUGGAGCGAAUGCAGGCUGCGCAGCUAUCCCAGAAGCCAGAACAGCAAGAGGGAUUGCUACUUUCGCUGCGCAGCGAUCCCUCUUGCUGUUCUGGCUUCUGAGAUUCAUAAUAUAUUUUUUCUUGUUUUCCUCCUCCAAAAACUAGGUGUGUCUUGUGGUCUGGUGCGUCUUAUAGAGCGAAAAAUACGGUAGCUUCGUAGCAAAAGAGUAACAACUCACAUGAUGUGUACACUGCAUUUUACUUCUAGGGUAGGUGUAGAAAAGUCUGCAUCCAUGCCAACUCAGUUUGCAUCACACGAAGAAACAGCGGCCGAAAUCCCCUCAUUGUGGGGACCUUUACGUGACCAGUGUUUUCUGUCUUAAACAAAGAGCAGAGAAGUCCCAGAUGGUGGUGGCUUUUAUGCGUCAUCCCGCAGGGCGAUAGUUCAUCCUCUUCCUUGCUUAGCUCAAAUGAAACAGCUAUGGCGAUAAUGUCCUGUGGAACUAAAACUGUACUUUUUCAAUUAAGGAAAAACAGCGUAGAGAGGAAGAAUCAGAGGAAGGGAAUGCUGAGCUCUGCCUCUCUCACAAAUUCCGUGUUUGUGAACACACGUCUGCUGGGAGAACAGUUUGUGUGAAGCAGGCAUUGCAUGCCAGGAUCCAUUUCUGUGAUAAAAGAGCGCAUGUCUUUUCCAGCAGCUGGAAAUCACGGAGCCAGAUGCGACUGCAGUGUGACUUGGCAACAUGAACAUUCGCGUACACGUUCAU